rnacentral:rRNA from 1 species
UCGGAGAGUUUGAUCCUGGCUCAGGACGAACGCUGGCGGCGUGCCUAAUACAUGCAAGUCGAGCGAACAGAAGGGAGCUUGCUCCCGGAUGUUAGCGGCGGACGGGUGAGUAACACGUGGGUAACCUGCCUGUAAGACUGGGAUAACUCUGGGAAACCGGAGCUAAUACCGGAUAGUUCCUUGAACCGCAUGG